rnacentral:tRNA from 1 species
GGGGUUAUAGCUCAGUUGGGAGAGCGAUUCGUUCGCAACGAAUAGGCCGGGGGUUCGAAUCCCCCUAACUCCA